rnacentral:lncRNA from 1 species
UUUUUUUUUUUUUUUUUUGAGACGGUCACCCAGGCUGGGGUGCAGUGGCCGGAUCUCAGCUCACUGCAAGCUCCGCCUCCGGGUUUACGCCAUUCUCCUGCCUCAGCCUCCCGAGUAGCUGGGACUACAGGCGCCCGGCUAGUUUUUUUUGUAUUUUUUAGUAGAGACGGGGUUUCACUGUGUUAGCCAGGAUGGUCUCGAUCUCCUGACCUCGUGAUCCACCCGUCUCGGCCUCCCAAAGUGCUGGGAUUACAGGCUUGAGCCACCGCGCCUGGCCUAAAUAUUUAUUUCAAAUUAAAUAAAAUCUAAAUAAACAUGGAUAAUUCAAACAUGCAAAAUAUCAAAGAUUACUUUUUAUAAUGAUAGGUUUAAUACAUAAUUAGAAGCUAAAAUAAACAUAUCCAAAAUUAAAACAAUAUACUAACUGUGAGGUAAGUGUCCAAUGUUUGAAAAUGAGAACAUGGUAUUUGCUUCGAUCCAAUAAGUAAUAUCCAAAUUUUAAACACUUUCCUAAAAUCAUGUGACAUGAAGACUGAUAAGCCAAUAGAAGCAAGAAUUUUCCAAGUCAGGAAAUCUGAGCUUUUCCACUACUAUGUGUGUGAUUCUGGGCAGUUUAAAUUUCUGAGCCUCAUUGUCUUUACUGGGAAUGGCAGUAUUAUCUGUAGCUUUUAUAUCAGGAUGAAACUAUAUGCAAACCAUCUACUACUGGGUAUAGGUGCUUGGUAGGCAAACACUAAGUUUUAGCUUUCUAUAAAUAUCAUUAAUGGAAACUAGUGUGUAAUGCAGGCCUUGAAAAAAGACCACAGCUAAGAAGGCUCCUACUAGGCUCAUUGUUUUACAUUCGUACUCCACAGUCUUACAAAUAAUUCAGACCCAAUGAUAUUAAUCUUUAUCACUAGGCAAAAUUCUAUCUUAUAGGUUAUGGUCCCUCAAACAUGCGGUAAUGUGUAGCAUUGAUGGACAUCAAGUAUUAAAUGUAAAGGCUAAAAUGAAAUAUAUUGUAAAUAAAGAAAUUAUUUUUAAAUUGUAGGUAGUUUAAAAAAAUCUUUCACAUGGUCUUUUCAAGAAACAGUGAUGGAACAACUGGGCAUUUAUGUGCAAAUAGAUGAUCUAGAUACAGACCUUACAACCUUCACAAAAAUUAAAUCAAAAUGGAUCAUAUACCUCAAUGUGAAAUGCAAAAGAAAAAUUCUGAGACGAUAACAUAGAAAAUCUAGAUGAUCUUGGGCA